AUAUGAGGCCCAGUUAGAGGCCUCACUAACCUGGGGAGGUUAGAUAUCCAUCCGGGUAGCGGACGCUCCGCCCCCUACUGGAGGAACGGCAUCCAGAGGCCGGGUUAUCAGCCCCGGUCGGAACCGUUUC
rnacentral:sRNA from 12 species